AUUAUUUCAAUUUUCUUUCACAAUACUAAUUCACUAUAAUUAAAUUUAUUUUUUCUUUAUAAAAUACUAAAACAUAAUCACUUUAUAAUUAUUUUUAAUAAAAUAGAUAAAAAACAAUAAAAAUUAAUAAAUAAAAUCUAAUCAAUUUAUAUUGAUUUGCACAAAAAUCUUUUCAAUGUAAAUGAAAUGCUUUACUGAAUAAGCUUUAAAUUGCAUUCUAGAUACACUUUCCAGUACAUCUACUAUGUUACGACUUAUCUUAUCUUAGUAAUAAGAGUGACGGGCGAUGUGUACAUAUUUUAGAGCUAAAAUCAAAUUAUUAAUCUUUAUAAUUUUACUAUCAAAUCCACCUUCAAUAAACAUUUCAAAUUUAUAUUCGUUUAAAUAAAUUUAUUGUAACCCAUUUCUACUUAAAUAUAAGCUACACCUUGAUCUGAUAUAUUUUCUUUUAUAAAAUUUUGAAAAUUAACAUUCUUAUAAAAUAUUCUAAUAACGACGGUAUAUAAACUAAACAAAUUUAAGUAAGGUCCAUCGUGGAUUAUCGAUUACAGAACAGGUUCCUCUGAAUAGACUAAAAUACCGCCAAAUUUUUUAAGUUUCAAGAACAUAACUA
rnacentral:rRNA from 1 species